rnacentral:lncRNA from 1 species
GGCUAUUCUAAAGAAGGUUAACAGGAAAGGCCUUUCUAAGAAGAAAAUAUCUGACCUGAGACCUAAAGAAUAAGGAAUUGCAAGUCAAGGGAGGAUGUACAGGGAGAGCCUUCCAGGCUUGUGAAGACCAGAGUGAUGUGAGUGGAGUAACCUAAACAGUCUUUUAGGACGUUUAUUCUGUCAACAGUCUGCAGAAAGAAUUAAGUGGUCAAGAGCCAGAAAGGUGGAAGACCAGUUGGAAAGCUACUCUUGUCAGCCAGACAGAAGAUAUCAAGGGCUUGAAUUCGGGGCAUGACACUAAGCAUAGGAGAGAAAUUGUGGGUAAGAAAACACUGAAGAUAUCAGGUUCUGUUCUAAGCCUGAGGAUACAGAAGUAAAUAAAACAGACAAAAUACCCAUGACAUUUUGCGGUUUACAUGGAUGGGGGAGAAAGAAAAUGUGCAAUAAGAGGUACCUUAACCUGCUGAGAAUUUAAGAAUUGGACAAAGGAAGUGUCAGCAGUCUGAGGAAAGAAGGAAGAAAGUAUGAAACAGGUGUGGAUGGCUAGAGCUUGAGUUGCCAAGGACACUGGGCCUUUAACAAAGCAAUAAGUCCAGCCAAGCAUAAAUACAACCUGAAAAAUGAAAACAAGAGCAAUGAACUAAAAUCCUUCACAAAGACCUUGUAGGUUAGAUAUGAGGACACUUAGGCUCUAUAAAGUGAAGAGUCUUGCUCAAAGUGAAGAGCAAGGUGGGUAAUGCUGUCCCAUCUAUCAAAUGAACAAAUAGAGGCUGUAAAGGAACUGCCACUGAUGCCAGAUGAGAGGUUUUCUUUGAUGUCAGAGUGGAAGCGAUGACUGCCUUUGCUGAACAAGGCCCGAGGACUAUGCCAGAUACCAGGGAUAUAGUGGUUUUCACAAAAUCAUGAACAAAGAAGCAUGAAGACCAAGGACCUCCUGGCAGCCCUCUUAUUUGACAGGGUGAUCCAGUUUGAGCAGAAAGGAGAAAUUGAAAGAUACCAGGAUUUUAGUGAUGUUGGUGACAUUCUCAAUCAAGUCUUGCCUGAAGCCAACUCUAACUCUGGCUUUUUCAGUUAUAUAAAUAAAAGUCCUUUAUUGUUUAAGCUGUUGUUUAUUAUUUGCCACCAAAAGAUUCCUUGUGGAGAUAUCUCUU